UCUCCGUUGGUGAACCAGCGGAGGGAUCAUUACCGAGUUUACAACUCCAAAACCCCUGUGAACAUACCUGUUUUGUUGCUUCGGCGGUGCCCUCGCUCUCGCGGCGAGGCCCGCCAGAGGACCCAAACAAACUCUUUGACUUUGUUCCAGGAUUAUACUUCUGAGUGAUACAAAAAAAUAAAAUCAAAACUUUCAACAACGGAUCUCUUGGUUCUG
rnacentral:misc_RNA from 1 species